GGUGAUUUUUGGGUGACGCACCCAGGAAUCGGGCUCCCCCCCUCUCUGGUUCCGGGUGUGUCACAUGAGAACCGCU
rfam:Myotis davidii contig43159, whole genome shotgun sequence.